CUUCCGUAGGUGAACCUGCGGAAGGAUCAUUACAGAUUAGAGAAGCUUAAUUGCUUUUUCUUACACUUGUGUUUUUUUAUAUGAAAAAAUUGCUUUGGUAGUGGAUAUUAAUUUAUACGCUGCCAGAGGUUAAAACUAAAUUAAAUUUUUUUUUAAUACAACUUAGUCAACAAGAAAUCUAAUAGUUAAAACUUUCAACAACGGAUCUCUUGGUUCUCGCAUCGAUGAAGAACGCAGCGAAAUGCGAUAAGUAAUAUGAAUUGCAGAUAUUCGUGAAUCAUCGAAUCUUUGAACGCACAUUGCGCCUUUUGGUAUUCCAGAAGGCAUGCUUGUUUGAGCGUCAUUUCUCCCUCAAACCUUUGGGUUUGGUGUUGAGCAAGACGAUUCAGAGUUUGCUUGAAAUAUAUUUUAGUUAUUACAAAGGAUAGGUUCUACCAAAUCUUUGUAUAGAUGACUAUAUUUAUAAAUCCAAAUUCGACCUCAAAUCAAGUAGGACUACCCGCUGAACUUAAGCAUAUCAAUAAACGGAGGAA
rnacentral:rRNA from 1 species